rnacentral:rRNA from 1 species
AUUGAACGCUGGCGGCAUGCCUUACACAUGCAAGUCGAACGGCAGCGCGGGGCAACCUGGCGGCGAGUGGCGAACGGGUGAGUAAUAUAUCGGAACAUACCCUAGAGUGGGGGAUAACGUAACGAAAGUUACGCUAAUACCGCAUACGCACUAAGGUGGAAAGUGGGGAUUCGCAAGAACCUCAUGCUCAUGGAGUGGCCGAUAUCUGAUUAGCUAGUUGGUGAGGUAAAGGCUCACCAAGGCGACGAUCAGUAGCUGGUUUGAGAGAACGACCAGCCACACUGGAACUGAGACACGGCCCAGACUCCUACGGGAGGCAGCAGUGGGGAAUUUUGGACAAUGGGCGCAAGCCUGAUCCAGCAAUGCCGCGUGCAGGAAGAAGGCCUUCGG